UGUAGAGGCAGAUCCUCAGCUUCUGGUUGAGCAGGACUUGGCAUUGACUAAGAACAUUGGAGGAGAAAGAAUCGAAUCAUUGUGGAGAAGAUUUCUGUUGACAGGAAGAUGCAAAGUAACUCUUCUGCAAGGUGGCCACUGCCAUUGUGAGAAACAGAAAAGACAAGAGUGAAAAUGUGAGAGGUAGUAAUGCAAGAGGGAGCAUAACCAUCAGAUGAGGAGAAAAAAAACGUAAUUUCCUCUCUUGGUGUUUGUAUAGUCAGAACUUCUUUCCUUUUGGAUGUAUGGUAGAACAUGGCAUAAUUCUUCAAUGCAGGCUGAAUUUAAACCUUUUUAUUCAUUUGCAUAAAGGUAACCUGAAAACAGAUUGUAUCAAAGAUGCUCAUCUUACCUCAACCGUUUGCACAUUCACCAAAUUAUAAUGCUUGCCACAUUGAACUGUAUUAGCGAAGGUUGUAGUUGAGUAUCCUUUCUAAUCUCCUUUUUUCAUAAUUUGAAAAAUCCUUUUGCAUUGGAGCUUUGUGUGCUUUGUUUCAACUCAAGAGUGAUGGGGAAACUUAAACAAAAUCAGUUAUUUUUGACUUAUAUAGCAUGAAGGAAAAAUACACUUUCUGUUAGUCACCAGUUGAAAUGUUGCACAAUCAUAAUGCAAAAGAUUAAAUUUGGCUUGUGGGACCAUUAAGGAAAGGAAAACAAUCUAUGUCCAAAGAAAAUCAAGUAAUUAUUUUGAUGCUGCAAAUAUUUUAAACUGGAAUAUCUAUAUUGAUGCAGUAAAACCCACUACUCAUUCUGGGUAAUAUAUAGCUAAAAUUGUUUCUAGUGCUAUAUGAAUAUCAAACUGCUGUAAUACUGAUUACUCUCAUCACAAAGUUACCUUACACCCUUAGUAAUGGCCUUGAAGAAUUAUUUGGUUCUAACUAUUCAUAACCUAGUCUUCUGGCAUUGAUGUUUCUGUUGUAAAUGCUGUGACAUUUUGGAGGUAGUAGGUCCAGCCCCCCGUGUCUCUCCUACACAAGCAGGGGACUGGGAAGGUAACUGUAUUUAGAAGGUUAGGCAGCUAGGAAGGUCUCACGGCUCCAUCAGUAGUACGUAAACUCUAGAACUUCAGUGUGAUUUGUGUACCACAGAUAUGUCAAAUCCGUAUCAGACAGCAAGCGCUUGACUAGAAAUAUGAUUAAUUUAUGAAUAGCUUCAUUUUAUUUAAAUAAAUGUUUAUUCUUACUAUAACCAUGAAAUUAAACAUGUAAAAGAAGAUAUACUUUGGCAGUCAUAUCAAAACUAUAAGGUGCUUCUAUCAGCUCUGAAGAAGCAGUGACUUAACACCUUUUGUCUCAAAACUAACUGUGGCAAAGUCACUGACAGAAUUUUGCGAUACAACUGGAAGCUGUUGCAGAAAACCCUGUUUUUGUAGUUUAUGAUACUCUUUUGGGAAAAAGAACAACAAAUGCUUGGAAAACUUCCCUAAUUCAGAAGUAACGUUUAAGCAAUUUUCUUUCUCUGUUGUGGAACACAUGCGGCGACACUUGUUUGUUGUCUGUAAAAAAAUUGUAUAUUGUUGUCUCUUUGGCCAAGAACUAUAUGAUGUAUGAUGCUUAGGGCCAUCUGGGGUUUGGGUAAAAAUUAAUGACACAGAGUUGGGAUAGUUACCAUAAUUUAUUAUACACUGAUUUUACUGCCCAAAAAGCAACAUGAAAAAGACAACAAAAACUUCUUUCUUCUGAAAAACUGAGCUAGAAAUAUUUUUUGAUGCUGUUUUCAGCCUUUUAAACUUGCAUUUGGUUUGCAGUUGCUUAUAAAUUUCCCAAACUGAAAUAUUACCCUUUUCAAAAUAAACCUAAAUUCUCCCUAUUCCUUCCCCUUAACAAAAAACAAAAACACAAAAAAAAAAAAAAAAAACAAAACCACCCAAAACCUA